rnacentral:tRNA from 1 species
UGCAUCGGCCGGGAAUCAAACCCGGGGCGCCCGCGUAGCAGGCGAGAUUCUACCACUGAACCAAAAGC